CUGCCCGCUGUACUUAAGCAUAUCAAUAAGCAGGAGAGAAAAGAAACUAACAAGGAUUCCCCUAGCAACUGCGAGUGAAGCGGGAAAAGCUCAAAUUUUAAAUCUGGUGGCCCCGCCGCCCCGAGUUGUAUUAUGGAGAAGCGUCUUCCGCGCCGGACCGUGUACAAGUGCCUUGGAACAGGACGUCACAGAGGGUGAGAAUCCCGUCUUUGACACGGACCCCCGGCGCUCUGCGAUGCGCUCUCGAAGAGUCGAGUUGUUUGGGAAUGCAGCUCAAAACGGGUGGUAAAUUCCAUCUAAAGCUAAAUAUUGGCGAGAGACCGAUAUCGAACAAGUACAAUGAGGGAAAGAUGAAAAGCACUUUGGUAAGAGAGUAAAACAGUUCGCGAAAUUUUUGAAAGGGAGACGCUUGAAGUCAGUGGCGUUGGUCUGAAAGUCAGGCCUCCUUCUCUUGGCGCGCCGUUGUAAACCUUGGGCCAGGAUCGGUUUCGUGGGUCGGACUCUGGCGGGAGGAAGGUGGCGGCCCUGGACGCGUUAUAGCCUCUCUUCACGAACGUCCCGUGGGACCGAGGAAUCCGGCGCGAGCCUGCGAUGCUGGCGUAAUGGCUUCAAACGACCCGUCUUGAAACACGG
rnacentral:rRNA from 1 species